CCGAGCGAGGGCCCCGGGCCCGACCUCCAACCCCAUGUCACCCGACCCUGUUGCCUCGGGGGCGACCCGGCGCCGCUCGCGGCUGCCCGGGGCCCCCGGCGGACCCCCCCAACGAUGCAUCUUUGCGUCCGAGUCUGAUUUGAAUCAAUCA
rnacentral:misc_RNA from 1 species